rnacentral:lncRNA from 1 species
UGUUAAUCACUCUUAAAACUCUUAAUAAAGCUUUUUUGAAGAGAGAGAGACGCAUCCAAAUCGCUCCGAAUCCCAAGGAAAACAAGGGGAAAACAAAUUAAGACCAACUACCUAAAGCAUGUUUCCGUUUUUCAGUUAUAUUCACCGCCCCUUUUCAAUUCUCCUCCUCCUCUUCUGCCUUCUUUUCCCGCCGCCCCUUCCCGCCACCUACCUCCCCGUCUCCGCCACCGGAAACCUCACCGAUUUCGUCACCAACAACACAUGGCACACCUUCGUGCGCUUCAUGGACGCCGAGAAGGGCAGCCGCCCGGACGGCAUGGCCGAGCUCAAGCGCUACUUCCGCCGCUUCGGCUACUUCCCGCCGGAGAAUCAAAACCUCACCGAUCUCUUCGACGACGAAUUCGAGCAGGCUCUGAUUCUAUACCAGGGGAAUUUAGGCCUGAAUGAGACCGGGAGGCUGGACCACCCGACGAUGAAGGUGAUCGUGUCGCCGAGGUGCGGCGUCGGCGAUUUCACGGACGCCGGCAGGGGCGGGGGCGGGGGCGGGGGCGAUGUGAAGACGACGCGGCGGUUCGCCUACUUCUACGGCCAGCCGCGGUGGGUGCGGACACGCCGAUGAUGCUGACGUACGCGUUCUCGCCGGGGUACGUGAUCGACUACGUCGGGAUGCCGGAGAUAAGGGCGGCGUUCGCGGCGGCUUUCGGGCGGUGGUCGGCGGUGAUCCCGGUGAACUUCACCGAGUCGGAGGACUACCCGGCGGCGGACAUAAGGAUCGGGUGGUACAGCGGCGACCACGGCGACGGGGAGGCGUUCGACGGCGUGCGGGGGUGCUGGCGCACGCCUUCUCGCCGGAGAACGGGCGGUUCCACCUGGACGCGGCGGAGAGGUGGGCGGUGGACUUCGAAGCGGAGCGGUCGAAGGUGGCCAUAGACUUGGAAUCGGUGGCGACUCACGAAAUCGGCCACGUAUUAGGGCUGGCCCACUCCUCGGUCAGGGAGGCCGUCAUGUACCCGAAUUUGAGUCCGAGAACCAGGAAAGUGGGGCUCCGGAUGGAUGACGUGGAGGGGAUCCAGGCCUUGUACGGGUCGAACCCCAAUUACAGAUACGACUCUCGCUUAGAAUCCGACUUGUCGUCGGGUCGGGCCAUGGAUCCCCCAGAAGAAAGGGACUGAUGUGGGUCGCGGCGAUGGCUGUGGUCGCGUGUUUACUUGGGUUACGAUUAUGAUUUUUAUUUUAAUUUCGGCUUCUCAUACAAAUAAUUAGAAUUAUCUUUUCUAUUUUUAGAAUUGUAAAUAAUUCACUUGACAAAUUGAACAACAUUCUUUCACUUUCAUCGUGGAGUGGUCAACUUCUUCUAUCUCUCUCAUCUCAUCUCAGGGAAUGAGCUAUUUUAUUAAAUAAUUCAAGCACAUAUUCUUUUAUAGAAACAACUAGUUAAUACAUAGAGUUAAUUGCUUUUACAGUUUUACCAAACUACUCCCUCCGUCCCAUUAAUAAAGACAUAGGUCUUUUGGGCACGGAGAUUAAGAUGAGGUAGUUUAAGGAAUUAAGUGUUGUGGUGUGUAUUUGAUUAGGGCCUUAACUCUCAACUCUCUCUCUCAUUUCUCGGACUACCACUGCCCACCACCACCGACCACCGCCGCCGCCGCCGCCGCCGCCGCCCACCCCCACCACCACCGAUUCCCUAUGCUAUGCUGCCGAAAAUGGAGCCCAGAAAAUCAAACUAGAAAUUGCAAAUUUUCCAAAAAAAUUAGCACAAAAAACUGAUUCAAAAUUAGCAUCAAAUUGCAAAUGAAAACCAUUCUCAUUCCAAAACAAAAAUUGGCAGAAAGAGGAAGAACCAUUUCAAAACAACACAACCAAAAAACCAGAAAUUGCGAACCAUUUCAAAAAUUGGCAGAAAGAGGAAGAACCAUUUCAUGAAACAACACAACAAAAAAACCAGAAAUUUCGAAUCCAUGAAAAUCGAACGACGCCUCCGCCGCCUCACCGCUACGGCCGCCGGAGAAGGAGAAGAGAGGGGGAUGGGCGGCGGUUUCAGACGCGCACGCAUCUCGAGUGACGCCUCCGCCGCCUCAGAACCAGAUCUGCGACUCUCUUCCUCUCUCAAAUCGAACCUAGAAAUUGAGGGUGGUGGUUUGGCGGAUCUGGGUUUUUGAAAGGAGACCAGAGCCGCGUGGUGGUGGCUGUUCGGUCGGAGAAGGCGGCAGAGGUCGAGAGAGAGAUGAGCGAGAGAGACGAGGGAGAACCGAGAGGGGAAGAGAGAAGAGUCGGACAGAGAGAGAUGCGAGGGGAAGAAGAAAGGCGGUCGCGGCGCGGCCCCAGAGCCGCCGUCGGCUGGAGAAGGAGAAGCAGGCGGCGGCGGAGAAGGAGAAGAGAGGGGGAGGGGUGCCGCGCUGUUCGGCGGGGCUAGGGUGCUCGGCCUCUGCCCCGUCAGUGGUCGGAGAGGCGAGGGGUGGCUCGGCGGUGGUAGGAGGCUCGCCGGAGAAGCUGGAUUGAGAGAGAGAGAGACGAGAGAGUGAGAGAGGCGGAGAGGCGGAUUGAGAGAGAGAGAGAGACGAGAGAGUGAGAGAGGCGGUGAGAGAGUGCAAUUAAUUAGUGUAUCUUAUGCCCUAAUUAUUUCCUUUUUUGGAAGUGAGUCUUUAUUAUUGGGACACCCCAAUAAGGAAAGUGGGUCUUCAAUAAUGGGACGGAGGGAGUAUCUUUUCUCUCCUUUUCUUCGACAAAAUCGGAACCAUCUAUAGUUAUCUACUAUGUAUAAAUAUAGAGAAAGAUUCGGUUAAAAAUUCUAAAUAUAGUGAAAUAAAUAAUGCAUGUCAAAUGCGCGAAUAAGUCAAUAAUUUUUACAAAAUAAAUUAAUAUAAUAUACUAUUAUUUAUUUUUGUUUGGAUUCGAAUUCUAGAAAAUACAAGAAUUUCAGUAUAUUAACUAGAUACGUCUAUUCGUGAGUUAUAUUGAUUUAUUCGUUAUUCUCAUUUUUCACAAAAAAAAAAAAGAAUCUCACUGCAAUCACACCAUAGUGUGAUUAUAUAUAGUGAAAAUUAUAUUUUUUUGUGAGAACGUAAUAACCAUUAUAAUUAGUGCAAUUGAUGUUAAAAUUAAUGAAUUUUGAUGUUAAAAUUAACGCACUUAAAAAAAAUUCGCUUGUAAAUCAUCUUUUCAUCUUUUUUGUUUGAUUUAUUUUCUAUGGCAUCUACUUUUCUUUUGUAUUUAUUAUUGAGGGGAACUAUUUUUGUAUGUUUUAUUAACAAAUUGUGCAAAAUCUUUGAAUAUAUAUGAUUCUUUGCUUACCUCUUGCAAUACUCUCGCACAUUCGCACUAUUCCAUUUCCCAUAUAAUUACUAAUUAACACUACAUAUUAAUAUAUGAAGCACAAGCCAUCAAAAUAUAUUUAACAAUUUAACUAUUCACUACGAUGAGAUCUAGUGUCCCACAAUCUUAUGUGUACCACUGUGUCCCAUACUCAUAUCUAUUAUUUAAAAUAUUUUAUAAAAUAAAAUUUAUUAUAAUACUACGAAUUAUAUUUAAUUUACUUUAAAAUUAAAUAUUUAAAAGUAUAUACCAUGACUUGGAAUUUAUCAACCUAUUAUUAACUAACAAAAGUGAAAUUAAAUGAUAAAAAUAAUUAUAUACCCUAGAUUGAUUGAAUAAACCCUAGUUAAUAAUCACAAAAUUAAACUAAAGCGUACUAAAUUGAAAUUGAAGAAAAAUAUAUAAGAAAUUAAAUAAAAUUAAAAGUGGAACACAAAGUGGGACAUAAAGUAUGGUACACUGAAUCUCAUUUCGACGAGCACAUGAUCUCUAAAACACAUUGAAAUCCAGUAACAAGUGUAGGCUACCAGCCUACCACCGAAAAUCAAAAUUCAUUAAGUACAACUUUCCAAUAUGAAUACAUCAUAAACCAAUUAUUGACGAAAUCUGCACGAAUUUCAAUAUUUUGCAUCGACCGGUUAAAUGUCAACUUAUUGAAGCACUCGGAUGGAACAUAUAUGACGACAUCCUCUAAGCCGAGAAUAACGAUGAUGUCCCAAAGCCAAAAACGGCAAAACGCGACAAAGGGAAGGACAAGAAAAUAGAGUCCUCGACGAACAUAGCACCACUCAAUGGAAAGCUCUUGAUUUGAAACGAUAAGUUCUCGGUUUUGAAAUUUUCAAGCUCGAAGAUGGAUUGACGACAUUUGACAAUGCAUAAUUCACUAGUCGAAGAAGCCACGAAGCAUCGAGGAUUGACGUAGUUUUUUAAUUAUUAUAAUAUUUUUUAAUUAAUGCAAUUUCACUUUAAUUAUUGUAUUUUAUUUUACUUAAUGUAAUGCGACAAUUUUAAUUUUAAUGAAAUGUUGGAUUUUAAAAUUGAAGAGGUAAAAUGGAAUGGAAUUAAUAUGAAAAUUAAAACGACAUUGGUCACAUUGCAAUACUUAAAAAAUAAUACUCCCUCCGCCCCCCAAACAUCUUCCUAAGGAAGGGUGACACAGGUUUUAAUAAAAGUUAGUUGUGUAUUUAAUGAGUGUAUAGAAUGGAUCCCACAAAAAAUGAAGAUUGUAAGAGUAAUAGUGAAUGCAAUUAUUUUCAAAAGUAGGUUAGGAAGAUGUUUUGGGGACAACCCACAAUAGAAAGAGAGAAAGAUGUUUGAAGAACGAAGGGAGUAUAAUUAAUAAUUAAAAAAUUACAUCAAUCUUCGAUGUUUCAUGACUUGCUCGAGCAGUAAAUUGUGCACGGCCAAUUGUCAUGCAUUCAUCUUAGAGGUGUCUGUGUUGAGAAUUUUAAAAACCAAGCUUCCCGUUUCAAAUCAAAAGCUUCCCUUUGAGUGGUGCUGAAGAGCUCGAUUCCUUUGGCGACGCGAUCAAUUGCGUCGUAGUAUUGAGCUUUGUCCCCACCCAUCGAGGACUUCACCUGCUUCCUCUUCCCUUUGUCGCGUUUGACUGUUUUUUGGCCUUGGGGCCACGUCGUUAUACUUGGCUAGGAGGAUGUAGUCUUGCCCUUCCCAUCCGAACCGUUGAAGCGGUUCGACAAGUGGAUGUCCUCGCCACUCGACACGAAUCGCUAAGAUUCGCGCAGAAUCUGCCAUGCUUUGAAGCCCCGUAAUUGGCAGAAUAGCUCUCACGUGCUUGUUGAAUAAUUUUAUCAUUACUCGUUGCACUCCACCAAAUAGCGCGGGAACAUUUCCCAUAAACAGACUCAAGUUUGGGAAGACAAAGCACAGAAGAAGUUCUAGAGAGAGCAUGAACUUAAAAGUUGGUUUGAGUAAACUACCUCUACCUGCAGCGAAUGAUUGCAUAAUUCUCGUCCCGUACGGCUCCAUUUUCUUCUCCAUUCCUCCCUAGCACUUCAAAUGGUAGAAAAGUCUUCUAUAUAUAUAUACGAAUUGAUAUAAUGGAAGAAAUAAAUAUGUCAGAAGUGACAAACGAUAAACCACUAGAACAUCAUAUAAAAAGUAUACUAAAGAAACCCAGAAAAUCUUCUCAGAUAAAUCUCAAGAACAAGAUUCUUCUCUGCUGCCUCUCUACCCCAGCAACCAAGAUGCAAGGGCGAUGUUACCUGUCACAAAGUGUUCAUUAUUUCUAUUGAACGUUGGAUGAAUAAAAGAAACAAGGAAACGAAAAAUCAAGAAGAAAGAAAGCGAGUGGAUGCUCAUCACAAGCAAGACCAAUUCUAUAUAUAGGUAACAUCCUAUAAAAGAAAUCCUAAACCCUAAUAAGCUAUGUGUAGGCGGAAGAGAAAAGAACCAAAAAUAUACNUUGGAAUACUACAAAAACGGAAAAGACCUGGCCAAAUCAAAGAAUCUUCUUAACUUUAAUGGUUCAUCGAUCUUAUCUAGGUGAACUAAGCCCAGACUAAAUAAAACCUAAUCAGCUAUUAAAUUAUGUAUAUAUUUAGAUACAUACUAAGAAAAGAAAUUGUGUAGAUAAUAAUUGUUAAUCACUCUUAAAACUCUUAAUAAAGCUUUUUUGAAGAGAGAGAGACGCAUCCAAAUCGCUCCGAAUCCCAAGGAAAACAAGGGGAAAACAAAUUAAGACCAACUACCUAAAGCAUGUUUCCGUUUUUCAGUUAUAUUCACCGCCCCUUUUCAAUUCUCCUCCUCCUCUUCUGCCUUCUUUUCCCGCCGCCCCUUCCCGCCACCUACCUCCCCGUCUCCGCCACCGGAAACCUCACCGAUUUCGUCACCAACAACACAUGGCACACCUUCGUGCGCUUCAUGGACGCCGAGAA